UGUGUAUGCCAGUGCUCCCAGAGUGUAUGCGUGACGGCCAUGUAAUAUUCCUAGCACACUUUUACACAUGGCACUGAAUUUAUUUUUUUCUGCGUGAUCAGUAAGGGGGCCUCACACAAAUAGUAGCCUAGGGGCCAAUGACCACCUUAAUCCACCACUGAUGAUGACCUUGUAAUGAAAUCAAUGUUCAUAUUGGAUUGACAUUUUUAUUUUAUUGAAAAAGGAAACACCGGACCAGGUGGAGGCGUGUGAUGAAUGGAUUGAUGUCCUUCGGUGGAAAAAGAAAACAAAGAAACAGAAGAGGGAGUUUGUUGAAUUGAAGGAUCGAUAUUGGGAGAAAAGGGAUUCACUGGAAAUGGAUUGGACGUUAACUGAAUGGGAAAAACAAAUAGAUGAGAUGGUAAGUGUUAUUACUGGUUUGAUACAGAACACAAUAAUAUGUGUGAACCUAGCUGGCAGUGGUGGAGUUAUUAGAUGAUGACCAGAGGUGGAUUAACACCCAGGCUAGCCUCGGCUGAGCCUAGGGGCCCAGGUGUGCACGGGGCCCUGGAUUGGACAUACUAUUUUCAAUUUUACUUAAA